CCAGGAGUUCUGGGCUGCAG
rnacentral:miRNA from 1 species